rnacentral:lncRNA from 1 species
CCUGGGACUCCAGCGUGCUAGCAGGCAAGAAUCCAGAAGAAUCCCAGGGCCUGAGAAAAUCUAGAUGGACAGAGACCUAAAGGGAUUAUUCUGAUGACUUAAAAAGAGGAGCCCAGAUUUCCUGCCUGAGUGUGCUUUGUGGACCCGAAUGAUUGCUGGACUCUUGUAUACAUGCACCCUGGACAGCACAUUCUGGAGGAAUCCUUGGGGAUCAAGUUGUACAGAAUAUCCAUGGGCUACAAAAUCUACAUCCUACUAGAAGAGAGAUGGUCAGAAGGUACACGGUUGCCCAGCUUCCAGAACACGCUGCAGAUCUUACGACUCCUGGAAUUCUGAGUUCCAGGUGGAUGGUUAUACUAUUGUGCCGCGUAGACUAACUUUUCAAAGGCUCUUGACAGAAGAAAGGAUUUUCAGUAGCAUUUCAAAUGGCAUACCCGAGGCCUAUAAGGGUCAUAGUUUGCCCUGCCUCUCCGGUAUCCAGGUUUCUACUUUCUGUAUCACAUUCUCAGGCAUGUGGAAGGAGCUUUUGGUUCCCAGGCAAGCAGGAUAAAUCCAGGUCAGAAGGGUUCUGGGAAUAUAGAAAAG